CCUAUUUCUUUAUGGCUUCAUCUCUGGGGUAGUAGUAUCGUCACUAAUUGUUGGAGUGAUCAUAGCCUGUAAAUUAUAUAGGAAACGUGAAGUAUCGAACAGAAGAGAACAAAGUGUUCAACAAACUGCGGGCUUUUUCAGUGCACUGACCAAAGGUUUGGAACUCACUCCCCAUUGAUCUCAAACAGACAACAUGCUAUACCACUUUUAAGAAGAACAUUAAGACCUACUUGUUUAAAACUUUUUUAGAUUAGUUUGUGAUUUCCAUUGUCGUGUUUGUGUUUGCAGGCUAGUUUGGUUACUUUUACUGGUUUUAGCCUUUUUAACGUUGUUAAUCAGUGUUGAUCGGGCAAUGUUAAAUUCUUUUGCCGCAUGUCGAACUGUCAUGCCCUUCUCAACAGCAGUUACAGCAUCUAUCAUAACUGACUCUGGCACUUUGCCUUUGUCAGUUUUCCUUAUGUAAACUCGAGGCAUUAUUACCUACCUAGAAAAAGAAAAAAAAAUAUUUGUCAUUUCAUUAGGCCUAAUAUUGACUAAAUCUAUGUUUUGUCUUUGACUUUAAAAAAUCUAGAUUAGAUCUAGAUCUACUUAAAAUAGAACACCAGCAUUAAUAAUUAACAUAUUUAUUACAGUAAAGAUGGACAUACAUCUAUAGGUCUAUAGAUUCUAGAUCUAGUUCUAGAUCAAGAAAGCUACUUCUCUAAUUCAGUUUUCUAGUUUAAUUCUAGUUAGAUCUAUACGUCUAGACCAGUAGAUCUAAAUCUAGCCAGGGUUUUUGUCAUGGAACUAGAUCUAUAAACCUGCAGCCGCCUACUGAUCACUAUAUGACAGACGAUACUCUCUUUACUAAGUCUUUAAUUCUAGAUCUAGAAGAUCACAGUAAAACUCAAUGUGUACUUCCGACUUUAGCUCAACAAGUCUACUCCAAAGUAUACUAGUAAAGUCACAAAAUGUAAAGGAUCAUUAUAUAUUCACAUAAAAAAAAUGUAGGCCUAAAUGAAUCGAGUAAUCAGUCACUAAUUUGACUAAUCUAAAUUGUUUUUUUUUAAAUGGCAAGGGUUAUUGAUAACUUCUGACUUGUACACGAGUUGCAGAGAUUGUAGCUUUUAUUUUGAUGACAUGUUACGAGAUAUCAAUGAUAUUUAGAUAAACGCAAGUACCUAGUGGCAUAGAGAGAAGGACCAUUUAAUAUAAGGCAAAGAAGUAAGAUGUUUAUAAUCCAUCAAACUCACAGAGGACUUGUGUCAUUUGUGACAGCAUUUCAUGCAUUUACAGAAGCUACAAACUAUGACACAAAAAUGAUAGGCUUGUCUUUGAUUCCGAAGACUUAUGAGGAAUGCUGUUUCCAGUGCCUACUCAGCCGCAGCUGUGACCUACAUAUUAUGCCACACUGAGAACAGGCAUAACCAUUGUCCAACUGUGGUAGAAUCAGGUUUUUUUUUCUUUUUGCCGUCUACCCUCGGCAAUUAAUUUUCAUUGGUGUAUACCACACCUUUGUAAGUGACCUCCAGCUGUCUCAUUCUGAAGCUGUAUGCAACCAGGUGCUCUCUUAUUCUAUGUCAGUUAAAGCAAGUUAGCGCCUAAGCUAGUCUUUAAAGCAUUUCUGUGGUACCUCUUUACGUGCAUAUGACAUGUUAGGCAAAUAGGUUUAGCCCAUCAGAAGGCCAUUUCGGAAAGUAUAGGUGUUUAAAAUGAAACUCCAAAUAUCUGGACUACCUGUUACCAAGAAAAUAAGCUUAGGUUUCAAAGAGAUGACACUGACAUUUCAGCUAAGACGAUCAGUAAAAUUAAUAGCAACUUUAAUUGCAGUCCACCAAACAAGAUAAAAAAAAAAACAAGUGUGGCUUCAAUAGCAUUGAUGAUAUUUAGUUUACUUUUAUCUCAUUUACUAGUAUUACUAUGUCAUUGACUAAGGUUUUUUAUUGUCAAAUAGGCAUAAGUACAUGUACUAGUUCCUGCAAUUUGAUGAAAAAUAAUAAUUAAAUUGUGUGUAGUCUAUAUACAAAUGUUUAUAAGAGAUCACAGCUUAGCUUAACUUACUUAAUUUCAAAACUAUGAUUUUGUGUUCUGACUCUACUCUAAAUAAAUUAUAUUUUAUU